CCAAGUGAACAAAUCAUUUGGAAGAUAAAAAAUUAAGCGAGCUGUCAGUCGUGGCGACCAUGUUUGUUUUCGAUUUUGUGUCAAAUUUUGUGAGUGUGAUCAGAGUGUGAUCAUAUGCAUGAUAUACGUUCUCUGGUGUGAUCAGUAAGGUUUGGCAUUUCAUCAAGUCACGUUUCACUUUGAUAGAACGCUUGAAAUUUAUUCAAGAGUAUUACGUAAAUUCACGUUCUCUGGUGUCUGCUGUUCAUCGAAAAUCAUCUUCUCAGAAGAGGCCCAUUUCUGGCUUAACGGCUCCGUCAACAAACAAAAUUGUUACUAUUGGGGUGAGUCAAAUCCUCGUGUGGUUCAGGAAAUGCAAUUGCAUCAAAAAAAAAUGGACCGUUCGGUUCGGAUUGCGGUAUGGUGGUAUCAACAAUAGCGAGCUUUUUUCCGGAAUUUGAUGAAAUUGACGCGGGCGAUCAUUGUUUCCAACAAGACGGUGCGCCAUCUCAUGUGGACACAUUGCGUGCAAAUUAUGGUGACUCGUUAAUUUCGAGAAAUGGUCCAGUCAAAUGGGAUCACGCAAUUUAAAACCUCUAGGUUUUUUUCUACAGCCGAAAUGCUGCAUCGGGUUAUCAAAAAUUCGCGUAAGCGGGUGGAGCUGUGGUGUCCGUUUGGCCGACAUUUUGUUCAAAUCAUAAAUGAUCCGAUGUGGGCAAAAGAGGGGGACGAAAAUGUCAAAACAUCCCCAUAAUGAUUAAAAAUGCUCGAAAAAAUGAAAUCUGUUAAUUGUGAAUGCCACGCGUAUGCAUACGAAAGAUUAAUGGGGUUACAAAUCAAUGAAAACAAUAGAACAUUUUCACGAAUUUUUUCUGCUGCACGAAACUUUUUUCUGCUCUCACACCGAACUCCUAAUUAAUCCAAACUUUAUAUUCGGUGAUCUUAACAUUCCGUUUUUUCGUGGACGUCUCUGGUCAUUGGAAUAUACAAUAUGACCGGAUAGCUGAGAAAUCCGAAUGACCUUCACAGCUCCAGUAAAGUGAUGCGUGUCUAAGCAAAAUUUUAUAGACUAUUUCAAGAUAUGUUAAGAAAAAGAAAGUGCUGGAGAUUUCAAAGUGAAGAAAAAAGUAAACUGUGAUAUAUUUUUUUACAUUAAAUUGUGAAAAAUGCAAUAAAAUUAACGAAAUAAACGAAAAGUAAAUGAAAUCAGUCAACUUUUGCAUUGGUAGAAUUGGCCCAAUCCGGAAAGUCAUUCAAAUCUGGAUAUAUAACGAGACCCCAUGUUUGCAUAAAGCCCAACAGAGAAACGGUGACAAUUAAUGUGGGCAAAAUCCCACCAAGUGCCUGUAGAUUAAAUGGACAAUUACGCAUUUCAGAAAUUUAUAUAUUAUUUAUUGACCAUGUCCUUUGUACGAAUGUAGCCAAAUUGCGCCACUAUAGCAUUCGGCGGCGUACUGACCGGCAGAUGAAAAGCCAUACUCAGACCCAAGGCUGCAGGAAAGCAGAUAUAAGCCGGAUUAACUUUAACUGAUAAGGCCUGGAAACACAAAGUUAAAGUUUAUUGCAAAAUAGGCUAUUCUCAAGAUAAGCGCUUACCAAAUUUAUCAAUAUGGGUAUAAGAAUAUUGCACAUGGCUACAUUGGAUGUGAAAGCGGUACAAAAUACAGCGACACAAAAACAAAUUAACUGUAAAAGCCAGGGCGGCAAUACAGAUAAAACCGACAGAGAUGCGCCAACGUACGAUGCAAAAUGGGACUUGGAGGCACCCUCAGCGAGCGCAAAACCACCAGCAAGCAGAUAGAGUAAGCCCCAAGAGUGACGCACGGAGAACCAAGACCAAUCAAGAACCGGUUUCGCUGUGCCCUCCUCAUCCGGUUCUAUAAAAAAUUUGCAGAUGAAUUGUUAAUACAAAUCAGCUACGAAAUCCAACAUACUUCGGCAUAUGAAGUACUUCAUGCACAAAUAAUUGACAGGCAACGCAAAGAGUAGAAAUGCAACACCCGAGAGGCCAGCAGAUGACUGUAUUUUUCUGUAAUAAACAAAAAGCGUAAGAAAUGAAAAGUUCAUGGUUUGUAUUUGCUUUCACGCUAACUUUUCAUUUAUAAUGUCCGCGUAACCUUUGAGAUCACCUAUGCCUGGUUUCCUGGUAAGAAAAAGUAUUAUCAUGAGAAUAAAAAGUAUGCCCACUUGGAUUUCGUGACAUGAAA